rnacentral:tRNA from 1 species
GCUAGUGUAGCUCAAGUGGUAGAGCGGCUGAUUUGUAAUCAGCGGGUUGGGGGUUCAAAUCCCUUCAUUAGCUA